AUUGAACGCUGGCGGCAGGCCUAACACAUGCAAGUCGAGCGGAUGAAGGGAGCUUGCUCCUGGAUUCAGCGGCGGACGGGUGAGUAAUGCCUAGGAAUCUGCCUGGUAGUGGGGGAUAACGUCCGGAAACGGGCGCUAAUACCGCAUACGUCCUGAUGGAGAAAGUGGGGGAUCUUCGGACCUCACGCUAUCAGAUGAGCCUAGGUCGGAUUAGCUAGUUGGUGAGGUAAAGGCCUACCAAGGCGACGAUCCGUAACUGGUCUGAGAGGAUGAUCAGUCACACUGGAACUGAGACACGGUCCAGACUCCUACGGGAGGCAGCAGUGGGGAAUAUUGGACAAUGGGCGAAAGCCUGAUCCAGCCAUGCCGCGUGUGUGAAGAAGGUCUUCGGAUUGUAAAGCACUUUAAGUUGGGAGGAAGGGAAGUAAGUUAAUACCUUGCUGUUUUGACGUUACCAACAGAAUAAGCACCGGCUAACUUCGUG
rnacentral:rRNA from 1 species